rnacentral:lncRNA from 1 species
UAUCCAUUUAUUUGAAUCACAGCUGAAUGGUUUUGACUGUUGUCAGGGCAAGCAAUUUCAGACAUACUUGAAAAACAAUUACUAGAAACAACUGCUACAACCCUGCCAUAUUGAUUGAAUAACCCCUCACUUCCUAUAUCAACACAAUAAGAAAAAGACCCCACCACAUUAACACAUUCUCACGUUCAUUUUGAGAGGGGGAUGGAGGAACUGUGGCAUUGAGUAUGACCACACUGCAAACCAUUUCUCAACAUUCUGACCAGUAUUAUAAACUUCUUUUAAGUGAUGUGUGUAUUUUGCUCUGAAAGGCUGUUACUGUGACAAAAUUACAUCUGUAAAAAAAGACUUGUGCUUGAGUCUCCAUACUUGCUACACCUGUGGUUUCCUGUGCUGUGCGAAAAAAAACAAAACAGAAAGCAGACAGGAAAUAUGACUUUUGUUAAGCCCCUAUUCCUUCUCUCAAUUUAUAGUGUUAACUCUUUGCAUAUUGAAUUUAACUAGUAUUAUUUUUGUCUUACUGAAGAACAACUACUCAAAUUCAUCCAAACAAGGCUAUUCAGCAAGUGUGGCAUUAUGGGAUUGCGCGCAUCAUUCAAAUCUGAAAUCCAGCCGACUGGAGCAGCGUGAGAACGACUAAAGAUCAGAAGCUUUAUUCAUAAUUCCUGGUGCAAAGAAUAGCAGCUGAUGUGGAGAAAUGUUUGAUGAUUCAAGACUCUGAAGCUGAUUAUAUUAGGUAAUGUAUUAAUUCUUUAAAUCAUUUGAUAAAAAGAUUUAUUUUCUUUAUUUUCUUGUAGGUGCAAAGAAUAGCAGCUGAUGUGGAGAAAUGUUUGAUGAUUCAAGACUCUGAAGCUGAUUAUAUUAGGUAAUGUAUUAAUUCUUUAAAUCAUUUGAUAAACUUGUAAUUUAGAUUACAUUUUAUAUUGAAAUACUGCAUUGUAGGUUACAUUAUUGCUUAUAUUUAUACAUUUCAGGUGCACCCACUGGCU